rnacentral:misc_RNA from 1 species
CCUAGAGUUGUAGGCUUUGCCUGCUAUCUCUUAUCCCAUGUCUUUUGAGUACCUUCGUUUCCUCGGCGGGUCCGCCCGCCGAUUGGACAAUUUAAACCAUUUGCAGUUGCAAUCAGCGUCUGAAAAAACUUAAUAGUUA